rnacentral:rRNA from 1 species
CCAGCUCCAAUAGCGUAUACUAAAGUUGUUGCAGUUAAAAAGCUCGUAGUUGGAUUUCUGGCGGGGGCGGCUGGCGGCGUCCGACAAGGGCGUCUGCAUGGGUCGGUCCCCGUCAUCCUUGGGGAGAGCGGUUCUGGCAUUAAGUUGUCGGGGCCGGGAUCCCUAUCGUUUACUGUGAAAAAAUUAGAGUGUUCAAAGCAGGCUUAGGCCCUGAAUACAUUAGCAUGGAAUAAUAAGAUACGACCUUGGUGGUCUAUUUUGUUGGUUUGCACGCCAAGGUAAUGAUUAAUAGGGAUAGUUGGGGGUAUUCGUAUUCAAUUGUCAGAGGUGAAAUUCUUGGAUUUAUGGAAGACGAACUACUGCGAAAGCAUUUACCAAGGAUGUUUUCA